rnacentral:rRNA from 1 species
UACGUAGGGGGCGAGCGUUGUCCGGAUUUAUUGGGCGUAAAGAGCUCGUAGGCGGCCAACUAAGUCGGAUGUGAAAUCCCCAGGCUCAACUUGGGAACUGCAUCCGAUACUGGAUGGCUUGAAUUCGGGAGAGGGAUGCAGAAUUCCAGGUGUAGCGGUGAAAUGCGUAGAUAUCUGGAGGAAUACCGGUGGCGAAGGCGGCAUCCUGGACCGACAUUGACGCUGAGGAGCGAAAGCUAGGGGAGCAAACGGG